GUGCACCACCACGCCCGGCUAUUUUUCUUAAUCAGCCGCGACAAAGUGAACUACUGUUCUCCAAGGCUCUAAGAAGGUGUGGAAGUGAAGGAAAGAAUCAGCUAACAGUGGGGACCUGUGACGUACAGGACACGUGUCCUAAUCCAGUCUCUCCUGCCCUACCCCUCUCCUAUGGUUCUCUGCCUCCUUGGGGAUCGGCCAGCCGGGAGGAGUGAUUGCGGCUCCCCACUCUGCCCCACGGCCUUGGGGCUCUGUGCUGCGCGGUGUGUGCCCCCUCCUCUGGAAGACACUUGCCCCUCACCCCCGACCCCAGGUGUUUUCUCCGGCUCUUCCCGGCCGCCUCUCCCUCCUUCCUCCCCUCUCCUGCCUGCGUUAGGGGCACAUCGCCCUGAGAGCCGCGUGAGGGACAGCACUGUCCCCGACCUCUGAGCACCGUGACUGGCACAGCUGUCGCCUCCUUCUCCUCCGAGACACGAGUGGACCCUGCUGGGUCCAGGAAGACAGCCGGUGCGAGGUUGACAGAGUUCAGCAGGGCGACUCUUCUGCUUGGGUGAUGUUGGCUGUGUCACCAUCCUCGUGGGAUACCACCAGCUGCAGCAACCACGAUGACCUUCUCACCUGCCUGGUGGCUUGGUGGUGACAGCUGGAAGUACCAGGAAUCGAACUCACAACCUUGAGCUUGCCAGGCAGGCACUGUGCCGCUGAGCUAAAUCCCCAGCCCCCUAAACCACCGAUUCUUUACAGAAGAACAAACAUGGACUUAUUUUCCCUCUAUGUAUCGCCUCUCCCAAGAAGACGCUGUAUCUAUGUAUUUUUUUGAUGUUAUAAAUAAAAAUGUACAUUUUUCAGUA